rnacentral:rRNA from 1 species
GUGGGGAAUAUUGGACAAUGGGCGCAAGCCUGAUCCAGCCAUGCCGCGUGAGUGAUGAAGGCCUUAGGGUUGUAAAGCUCUUUCAGUAGGGAAGAUAAUGACGGUACCUACAGAAGAAGCCCCGGCUUACUUCGUGCCAGCAGCCGCGGUAAUACGAAGGGGGCUAGCGUUGUUCGGAAUUACUGGGCGUAAAGCGCACGUAGGCGGGUAUUUAAGUCAGGGGUGAAAUCCCGGAGCUCAACUCCGGAACUGCCUUGGAUACUGGGGAACUAGAGUAUGGAAGAGGUAAGUGGAAUUCCGAGUGUAGAGGUGAAAUUCGUAGAUAUUCGGAGGAACACCAGUGGCGAAGGCGGCUGACUGGUCCAUUACUGACGCUGAGGUGCGAAAGCGUGGGGAGCAAACAGGAUUAGAAACCCUUGUAGUCC